rnacentral:lncRNA from 1 species
GUACCGUUAACUAUGAUGCUCGUUUGAGCAAUGAAAUGAAAUUAUCAGAUGACAAAAAAAAAAAAGAAGACAAAAACACAAGCUAACAAAAAUCAAAUGACGAAAGUCACAAAAAGAAGUCAAAACACAAAGCAAUACGUAGAAUAAUAAUACACAAUGGUCAACAAUGGUGGCUGUAAAAUAAUUUUAUUCUACUGAAUAUAAAAAGAGCUACAAAAUAAUGAUCAGAAGAAGUAGAUACCUGUAUGUAGCAGGACA